rnacentral:rRNA from 1 species
GACGAACGCUGGCGGCGUGCUUAACACAUGCAAGUCGAACGGAAAGGCCCUGCUUUUGUGGGGUGCUCGAGUGGCGAACGGGUGAGUAACACGUGAGUAACCUGCCCUUGACUUUGGGAUAACUUCAGGAAACUGGGGCUAAUACCGGAUAGGAGCUCCUGCUGCAUGGUGGGGGUUGGAAAGUUUCGGAGGUUGGGGAUGGACUCGCGGCUUAUCGGCUUGUUGGUGGGGUAGUGGCUGACCAAGGCUUUGACGGGUAGCCGGCCUGGGAGGGGGACCGGCCACAUUGGGACGGAGAUACGGCCCAGACGCCAACGGGAGGCAGCAGUGGAGAAUAUUACACAGUGGGCGGAAGCCUGAUGCAGCAACGCCGCGUGCGGGAUGACGGCCUUCGGGUUGUAAACCACUGUCGCCUGAGACGAAGCGUGAGUGACGGUAAUGGGUAAAGAAGCACCGGCUAACUACGUG